GAAAGAUUGCGAAAAACCAAGAGAAACCUAUGUUGUUUGGGUGUAAGGAAAUCCCUGCACCUUUGCACAGAACCUUGAUCUGAAAACUCCCCUUUGACUCAGGAUACAAUCAACCUUCCUUCAUGAAUCCUGCCUCUGGACCAAGACUGGCUGUUUACAAAUGGGAAUCAGUGGUUUUGUGAUGUCCCAGGUGAUAGCAUGAAGGCAACACAGCCAGAAAAUAGAUGUAGCCUCUUAUCUGUCUACGCCAAGGUCAACCGUCUUGGCAUACCAGAUGUCUGAAACACCACCUGAAAAUGCCCCACAUGAUGUUAUACACAUCUCAGAUUGGAUGGCCAGUUUGAACUAUUGGGGGUGGAAACUUGGGGUAACUUUCUAUAUGCAAUUUUCGCGCCUAUUGCUUCAGAUCUUGUAUUCUUCUGAUGUUACCAUAUCAAUUUUCAGUAAAAGUCCUUUUCACUAAAACUAUGGAGUCUAAGGCUUUCUUUCUUGGAUUUUGAAUGGAGCCUCCCCGACAGCUUCUUUCUAUUUGAAAGGGAAGUAGUUUGAACACUAUGAACAAUUCUGCUCAAACAAAAUGAACUCAAAAAGUGUAGGUUUAAACACUUUUGGGUUACGGGGCUUCCGGUUGGACUUCCCCAAAGACGGACCACUGACUGCGAUCGUCCAUGGCUUUGGUCCAUGCUUCUUCGUUGGAGAGCCCCGAUUGGUUAGAUUUGGGGCAGAAGCCACCUCGUAGGGGUGGCAGAGGAAGGGGAGACCGCCAGCUGGGUAGAGGGGAGUCGUAAAUCCCCUCCCUGGCUUGGCAAACUAUUCUUUCCGAAGACGUCUGAAGCAGUGAUCUAAAAUGGCCACCCUGAAGGGGAAGAGUCAGCUGGAAUAAGAUUGUGCAGGAGAGAAAGAAGCAGACAGCAUGAGAAACGGGAUGAUUAGAUGCUAUAAUUAAAUGAAAGGUACCCCAGGAUUGAUCAUUAAGAAUUUUUAAGAAAGGAUUCAAAGCAGCGAAGAGAAAGGGGGGAAAAAAGGGUGUGAAUUGUUUUUGACAGCUGUGAGGCUUUGAACCAAGAAAGGUAAAAGCCGGAAGAAGAAACCAUUUAAUUAAUCUGGAUAAAUAUACUGAUACUACAUA